rnacentral:lncRNA from 1 species
GGCCAAGAGCUUAGAUAUUUAGUAUCUGUAAUUCUCUAGUGGUUCUCUACUAAGAUUGUCAAAUCAUGACCCUGGCGUCAGUAUAAGCCACGCAUGUACGGUCCCUUGUUUUACAUAGAUUUAUUUGUUUUUGAAACAGUGGCAAAGAAAUUUGGACCACAAGCAUAAUGUCUAAUACAGAUUUCAAGAUUCAUCUUGAAUGACCUACUGACCUACUUUCUUGUUUUGGAAGCUACAGCAAAGAAAUUUAUACCCCCAAUUUGAUUUUUAAUCUGAUUUCAUUAGUUAUCAUAAAUAAUCUUUACCAUGACCUACUCACCAAGUUUUUGUUAGUGAAGCUUUAGCAAAGAAAUUUGUUUAAGCAAGCAAUUAAGCUCAGGUGAGCGAUAUAGGGCCAUCUUGGCCCUCUUGUUACAUAUUAUUACAUAAGAAGCCAUGUAAUACUAUGCUGAGUAAAAUAGGAACUGAUAAUGAAUGAUUGGUUAAAGAAGUCAUUUACUAGCUGUUAUACAAUUUGAAUUUAAUCAGUGAUGAAUUUUGCUUUGUUACAGACAGCACUUGCAGAUUAGAGAAUCACACCCUCAAAGAGAUGAAGAACUUUGGCCAUGGGCUGCAGUCCGCACUGACAUGAACAGAAAGGCAGCUGGCUCCUGUGGAGUGUUUGUCCUUAGGAUUAUCUGACAUACACUUUGACUGGAGACACAAAAAGUGGCUGUAAACAGACAUUCUGUAUCCAUGGUGACAAUUAUGGUCAGAUUCAGCUGUAGAGUUCUCUCCUUAACAACGCUGCUGUCUCCUACUCUUGCGGAGUGAAUGUUAAUGAUAAUAGUUACCCCACCAAUGAUAUUGCAGCUGGUCAAUGUUUACAUCUUUAUCACAUGUGACCUUACUACGCCUGUGUUUACCAGCGUUACCUGGUGACGAUCAACAAGGAUGAAGAAAUCAAUAACAGUAUCAUCAAGGUUACUGCUACACGACAGGGACUUAUUAUGAGAAUCAGGAGCCCAAUGUGUUGUCAGUCAG